rnacentral:lncRNA from 1 species
AUGUUACCAAACCGUCGUAAAACGUGCCAUGAGAAAUUCAGUGUUUUGUAGACCCUUUGACCUAAUACAAACUUUAAAUAACUCACAAACGCAUUAUAUCCGAUUAUCCAUGACGAGACUUCAUCUUUAACACGCUACUUUCGUCUAUCUAAUACUUAUAUCAUUCAUAUACUUGCAUUCAUUUAGUGUCAAUUGUUCACCCCAUACUCCUAUUAUUCUCCAUUAUCCUUUCUUUCAUAUGAACCCCGUUCGCAAUCAAGCUUACACGGAACGUAACAUGACCCCAAGUAACGAAACGGACGUAAUGUGGUUAAAACAUGGUGGAUACGCCGCUGGUACUUCCUAUAUAUAAGUGUUUUCACCAUGUUACCAAACUUUCGUAAAACGUGCCAUGAGAAAUUCAGUGUGUUGCAGACCUUUUGGACCUAAUACAACUUCACGCAACUCACAAACGCAUUAUAUCCGAUUAUUCAUGACGAGACUUCAUCCUUAACACACUACGUUCAUCUAUCCAACACUUAUGCUAUUCACAUACUUGUACUCUUUAAGAGUCAUUCGUUCAUUCUAUACUCGUAUUAUUUUAUACAAAACUCGUUCGCAAUCCAGCUUGUUUAAACAUUUGAGUCCUAACUUACCUCGUUACCUAUAAAAUAGCCUCCCUAUUCUUGAUUCUUGUGAAACUAUACUUAGUAUACCUCUAUUGCUUUAUUUAAAGUAACAAACCUUUUCGUUCCUCUCAAUAAACAGGUUUUACGAAAGUAUGAUUUUUUUAUACUAUCCUUAAAAACUUCCCCUUGCAAAUCUACCUUGAUGUUCUCC